GACAUAGUUGGGGCGUGGCGAACCGUAUGUUGUCUUCAACGUUGAUCUUGGUGGCAUUAGAAUAGGCGAUUAUUGCACUUCACAACAUGGCUAAUAGCUUCAUUGAGCGUUUGUGGAUCAGGAAGAGUUAACAACAAAUCCUUCACAUCAUCCCUUAAAUCCCAAUAGAAUUGACUCAUCAACGCUUCUUCAUCCCAAUUGAUGUCGCAUGCUAAUUGCCUGAAGUCCGAUGCAUAGACUCAUGUAGAGCGCAUCUCUUGUCGUAGUGACC
rnacentral:lncRNA from 1 species